rnacentral:tRNA from 1 species
GGGCCCGUAGCUCAGCCCGGUAGAGCACUCGCUUUGCAAGCGAGGGGCCUCGGGUUCGAAUCCCGACGGGUCCA